GACAGAGGUGCCGAGCGUUAGGCGGAAUCACUGGGCUUAAAGCGUGUGUAGGCGGACUUCUAAGUGCCUUGUGAAAUCCCACGGCUCACCCGUGGAACUGCUGGGCAUACUGGGAGUCUUGAGCCACUUAGGGGCAACUGGAACAAACGGUGGAGCGGUGAAAUGCGUAGAUAUCCUAAGGAACACCGGUGGCGAAGGCGGCUUACUGGGUCUCAACUGACGCUGAGGCACGAAAGCUAGGGGAGCAAACAGG
rnacentral:rRNA from 1 species